CGCCGGGAAUGGUUACUCAUUCGAGCGAUCUCGUCUCUCCCCUCUCUCCAUGUCUCGGACCCCGAUGUACAGCAUGCCUCGGGCCAGAGACCCCUAUGCUGACAGGGCGCCGCCUCCUCCACCUGCGCGCUACUCGUAUUAAAGUGCACCACUGCGCUUUUGUAAUCCAAGGUGUAAAUUAUUCAACAAGAUCGUCGUCGUUGUCUCCAGGUGCACGUGCCGCGAUACGUCUUUGUCUGCCAGAGCGCGUUUCGUUCGCCUGCGCACCAUAGUGGAAGAGUUCUGUUGCGGACUGCACAUUCUAUAAAACUACCGCUUUUACACGCAUAAAAACGUCAUGCUAAAUUGUCAAUUCUGCUUUAUUUUUUUGCCUUGUUUUUAUUGUUUAACAUUGGAUAGGUGAGAGAAGCACUAAGCCAGAGUACGUAAAUUAGGUUAACUUGGUGGUUUGGUAAAGACUAUUAAAGGAACGCUUAUAAAAAUUAUUCUUUCAAAGAACACUUCAAUGUAUCACACUGUACCUUUUUACCUUUAAAAUCUGGAAUGAGGUUAUCGUUUGUUAUUAAACUACUGUAACAAGCGCUAUGAAAAUUUUAAUUUGAAAUUCAUUUGUGUAAAGCUUUUCUUUAUUUUAUCCUCUUUAUUUUAUUUUUUUUCUCCCCCCCCCUCUCCAAGCUAUUUGUUAGUGCGGCAUGCAAGUAAGAAUACAGUCUUCGCAGCAAUAAAACCUUUCCGUCUACUGGCUUUAUUGAAAUUGUGCUGUAGUGUUCAUUUUUAAUUGCAGAGUAUCGAAGUUAAAGGACUUUGUAUCAUUUUCUUUCAUAGGAACACUUGAAAGUUUUAAUAAAAAGACUGGAACUUG